rnacentral:rRNA from 1 species
GAUGAACGCUGGCGGCGUGCCUAAUACAUGCAAGUCGAGCGAACGGACGAGGAGCUUGCUUCUCUGAUGUUAGCGGCGGACGGGUGAGUAACACGUGGAUAACCUACCUAUAAGACUGGGAUAACUUCGGGAAACCGGAGCUAAUACCGGAUGAUAUUUUGAACCGCAUGGUUCAAAAGUGAAAGACGGUUUUGCUGUCACUUAUAGAUGGAUCCGCGCUGCAUUAGCUAGUUGGUAAGGUAACGGCUUACCAAGGCAACGAUGCAUAGCCGACCUGAGAGGGUGAUCGGCCACACUGGAACUGAGACACGGUCCAGACUCCUACGGGAGGCAGCAGUAGGGAAUCUUCCGCAAUGGGCGAAAGCCUGACGGAGCAACGCCGCGUGAGUGAUGAAGGUCUUCGGAUCGUAAAACUCUGUUAUUAGGGAAGAACAUAUGUGUAAGUAACUGUGCACGUCUUGACGGUACCUAAUCAGAAAGCCACGGCUAACUACGUG